rnacentral:rRNA from 1 species
AAAUUGAAGAGUUUGAUCAUGGCUCAGAUUGAACGCUGGCGGCAGGCCUAACACAUGCAAGUCGAACGGUAACAGGAAGAAGCUUGCUUCUUUGCUGACGAGUGGCGGACGGGUGAGUAAUGUCUGGGAAGCUGCCUGAUGGAGGGGGAUAACUACUGGAAACGGUAGCUAAUACCGCAUAACGUCGCAAGACCAAAGAGGGGGACCUUCGGGCCUCUUGCCAUCGGAUGUGCCCAGAUGGGAUUAGCUAGUAGGUGGGGUA